GCUCAGGUGGGCAGAAGGAGGCUGCGCCCAUUCCAGGGAUAUCUUCUGCCGAAAGUCUCUCAAAUAGAACACCCAGGAAUACUAAAAUCUGAAUCAGAGGAAGCUUGUGGAAGCAUGGAGAGCUUUACAAGUAUGAAAGGAGCCUGUUUGCUAUCGAUGUGCAGAUCUGCCAAUGGGGACAUAUGCUGAGAAUUAAAGUAAUUUGUCCCAGGUCACGA